ACUCACAUGGCAAAUAAUUUCUGAGAGUCAUCUAUCUCAUGUGCAAGAAAAUGAAACACCUGUCGUUCUUCCUCCUGCUGGUGGCAGCUCCCAGAUGGGUCCUGUCCCAGGUGCAGCUGCAGGAGUCGGGCCCAGGACUGGUGAAGCCUUCGGAGACCCUGUCCCUCACCUGCGCUGUCUCUGGUGGCUCUAUCAGCAGUGGUUACUACUGGGGCUGGAUCCGGCAGCCACCAGGGAAGGGACUGGAGUGGAUUGGGAGUAUCUAUUACAGUGGGAGCACCUACUACAACCCGUCCCUCAAGAGUCGAGUCACCAUAUCAGCAGACACGUCCAAAAACCAGUUCUCCCUGAAGCUGAGCUCUGUGACCGCCGCGGACACGGCCGUGUAUUACUGUGCUAGAGACACAGUGAGGGGAGAAGAGGAAGAGACACCAGCGACCUCUCACUUCUCACGUGCACACAGAGAAGAGGCCAUGUGGAGACCUAGUGCACUAGAAGGUGGCCCUGUGCAAGCCAGGAAGAAGCCGCACUGA